rnacentral:rRNA from 1 species
AUACGGAGGGGGCAAGCGUUGUCCGGAUUUAUUGGGUUUAAAGGGUGCGUAGGCGGGCGUACAAGUCAGUGGUGAAAUCCUGCGGCCUAACCGUAGAACUGCCAUUGAAACUGUAUGUCUUGAAUGUAUCUGAGGUAGCUGGAAUGCGUAGUGUAGCGGUGAAAUGCAUAGAUAUUACGCAGAACGCCAAUUGCGAAGGCAGGUUACUAAGGUAUGAUUGACGCUGAGGCACGAAAGCGUGGGGAGCGAACAGGAUUAGAAACCCCGGUAGUCC